ensembl:lncRNA
ACAGUUUACAAUGUAAAAAGGCACAGAGAAAGAAACAAAUAUUAAAUAUAAUGUCAGAGAUGGAUAAUUGCUGUGAACAAAAAUUAAAAUUAGGGUAAAUAAUUAGAGUGUGGUGGAGGGGACCAUUUUAAAUAGCCUCAUUAUGGUAGGGUUCUCUGAGGAGAUGACAUUUGGACAGAAAUCUACAGGAAGAGGGACAGACUGCAAGACUCUCUCCAGGUGACACCAAGUUCAGAUGCUGGCGGAAAAGAAUGGUGGGAACGUUCAAGGCUCAGCAAGAAGGAGCCGGGACUGGGAACAACUGGGAGACUCAUCUCUCCUUGUCCUACUCCCAGUGACACCGUCAGUAACUCACUCAGCAAUAACACAGAACCCUAGGAGUUCAUGACAGUUGCUUUACAGCAUCGUGUCAGUUUCUGCCCUACAACAACACGAAUCAGUCACAGGGGAUCUUCCUGACCUAGAAGAAAGGUUAAACCCACAUCUACUGCAUUGGCGGGUGGAUUCUUUACCACUGAGUCAACAGAAAAGCCCUCUAAAUGGAAUGGAAAUCUAAGGAAGAGGGGAUAUAUGUAAUCAUAUAACUGAUUCACAUUUUUUACAGCAGAAACUAACACAGCACUGUGAAGCAACUAUACUUCCAUAAAAAAGAAAGAAAAGAAAGCAAUGCCCAGCUCAGAGGAGCAGAUGGGGGUGGGACAAAGAUACAGGGGGAAACCAUACACAUGGUCACUUUCUGUCUGUCACAGUAGGAAGACAAGCCUUACCAUCUACAGUUGGUAACAUCUAUGGUGAUGCAGUUAUUUUAUAAAGGUAAGGAGUAAAACAAUGACAGAUAAAAUACAACAAAAAGUUUGGAGGAAAGUGUAAGUAAGCUAAUUCCUCUGCUUUCAUAGUGAGGAGUUAAUAGGUGCUAUCUAAUAAUACAGGAAGCUUGGGGCUGGUGCACUGGGAUGACCCAGAGGGAU